CGGGGGUGGCAAGCGUUACCCGGAACUCACUGGGCGUAAAGGGCGUGUAGGCGGACGCUUAAGUCUGACUUUAAAGACUGCGGCUCAACCGCAGGACUGGGUUGGAGACUGGGCGUCUUGACCUCUGGAGAGGGAACCGGAAUUCCUGGUGUAGCGGUGGAAUGCGUAGAUACCAGGAGGAACACCGAUGGCGAAGGCAGGUUCCUGGACAGAAGGUGACGCUGAGGCGCGAAAGUGUGGGGAGCGAACCGGAUU
rnacentral:rRNA from 1 species